AACGUAGGAGACAAACGUUAUCCGGAGUUACUGGGCGUAAAGCGCACGUAGGCGGAUUGUUAAGUGAGGGGUGAAAUCCCAGGGCUCAACCCUGGAACUGCCUUUCAUACUGGCAAUCUUGAGUCCGGAAGAGGUGAGUGGAACUCCUAGUGUAGAGGUGAAAUUCGUAGAUAUUCGGAAGAACACCAGUGGCGAAGGCGGCUCACUGGACUGGUAUUGACGCUGAGGUGCGAAAGCGUGGGGAGCAACAGGG
rnacentral:rRNA from 1 species